GAUGAACGCUAGCUACAGGCUUAACACAUGCAAGUCGAGGGGUCUUUUGGAGCUUGCUUUAAAAGACGACCGGCGCACGGGUGAGUAACGCGUAUCCAACCUGCCCUUCAUAUUGGGAUAGCCUUCCGAAAGGAAGAUUAAUACCGAAUAACAUAGAGGGGUUGCCUGAUUUCUCUAUGAAAGCUCCGGCGAUGAAGGAUAGGGCUGCGUUCCAUUAGGUAGUAGGAGGGAUAACGGCCCACCUAGCCGACGAUGGAUAGGGGUUCUGAGAGGAAGGUCCCCCACACUGGAACUGAGACACGGUCCAGACUCCUACGGGAGGCAGCAGUGAGGAAUAUUGGUCAAUGGGCGCAAGCCUGAACCAGCCAAGUAGCGUGAAGGAUGACUGCCCUAUGGGUUGUAAACUUCUUUUAUACGGGAACAAACCUUGGUACGUGUACCAAAUUGCGUGUACCGUAUGAAUAAGCAUCGGCUAACUCCGUGCCAGCAGCCGCCCGUAAAAC
rnacentral:rRNA from 1 species